AAGACAUCGUUGGAUUAUCACCAAAUAAUCAGAAAGAAUCAACUGAAAACUGGAAACUGCAAAUACUGUAGCUGCUGGAAAACUGAAACUGAAAACUGAAAAUACUGUAGCUGCCGGAAAAAUACUGUAGCUACCGAAAAACUCAAGGUUGUCGGAAUUGAAAAGUAAAAAUAUGGGUAGGCUCAGAAUUUGAGGGCGAUCCAACUGCCCUGAAGGACCUUCGUCAAAAUCUCACCGGAACAGUGCUCAUGCGCCGGCGCGUGGGGCGUGUGAGUCGGAUCUGUCUUGAUAAAUCUGGCGCGUGAGGGCGCGUGAAGGGCAGUUUUCCGGUGGGGUUUGCUGGGGUGCCGGCGCGUGGGACAGACGCCCCGGCGGCGGCAGAACACCAACAAAAAGGUGGUUUAGUUACGGACAACCGCUUAAGUCGCCGGAAAAUUGCAUUGCGACGAGGUCUUUAUUCCCGGAAGUAGCUGGAAUGACGCACAACUAUAAAUACUCACUGUAGAUGCGAUGGUGUUGGUUUUUUUUUUGCACAACACUGAUACUUUGACGCAAUUAGACACUUCGGUCACCGGAAAAUUGCAUGGUGACUGAGUUAUUUCUCUCCGAAUGUCGUUGGAAUGACGCACAACGAUAAUUAUCUCACCAAAGAUCUGAUACCAUGUGAGAAAGCACGGGAGAAAUAUGAUAAUUGAUAUUAAACAUGAUACAAUGAGCCAUAUAUAUAUACAUAUAACCUAUCAUACUCCUAAUAAACAUUGGAUUAGGCUACUCCUAAUACACAUUGG
rnacentral:lncRNA from 1 species